UGGAGAGUUUGAUCCUGGCUCAGAUUGAACGCUGGCGGCAGGCCUAACACAUGCAAGUCGAACGGUAACAGGGAGCAGCUUGCUGCUCUGCUGACGAGUGGCGGACGGGUGAGUAAUGUCUGGGAAACUGCCUGAUGGAGGGGGAUAACUACUGGAAACGGUAGCUAAUACCGCAUAACGUCUUCGGACCAAAGUGGGGGACCUUCGGGCCUCAUGCCAUCAGAUGUGCCCAGAUGGGAUUAGCUAGUAGGUGGGGUAACGGCUCACCUAGGCGACGAUCCCUAGCUGGUCUGAGAGGAUGACCAGCCACACUGGAACUGAGACACGGUCCAGACUCCUACGGGAGGCAGCAGUGGGGAAUAUUGCACAAUGGGCGCAAGCCUGAUGCAGCCAUGCCGCGUGUAUGAAGAAGGCCUUCGGGUUGUAAAGUACUUUCAGCGGGGAGGAAGGYGKUGWGGUUAAUAACCKYAKCRAUUGACGUUACCCGCAGAAGAAGCACCGGCUAACUCCGUGCCAGCAGCCGCGGUA
rnacentral:rRNA from 1 species